GGCGCCUACGGGGCGCAGCAGUGAGGAAUAUUGGUCAAUGGGCGAGAGCCUGAACCAGCCAAGUCGCGUGAGGGAGUACUGCCCUAUGGGUUGUAAACCUCUUUUGUCGGGGAGCAAAGCGAACCACGUGUGGUUCAUUGAGAGUACCCGAAGAAAAAGCAUCGGCUAACUCCGUGCCAGCAGCCGCGGUAAUACGGAGGAUGCGAGCGUUAUCCGGAUUUAUUGGGUUUAAAGGGUGCGCAGGCGGAGGUGCAAGUCAGCGGUCAAAUUGCGGGGCUCAACCCCGUACUGCCGUUGAAACUGCA
rnacentral:rRNA from 1 species